CGGGACCACUAUCAAGUUAGCGGGAGGAGCAUCUAUUUAAGCUGGACAAGAGUAUCAAUCUACCGGAGGAAAAUGUACUUCUCAGCCUGGUGAUCUCACUAUGUUGCAGAUAACGGGUGGACGUGGUUCCGACCCAGGCGGCCGGCGCCCCCAGCCUUAACUGGCCAGGACGCCCGGCUAAGUGCCCGCCAGUAUACAAAACUCAAGAAUUCAUUUUGUGAAGUCCUGAUAUAUCAUUUAAUUGAUUAAAACUUUCAACAACGGAUCUCUUGGUUCUGGCAUCGAUGAACAACGCAGCGAAAUGCGAUAAGUAAUGUGAAUUGCAGAAUUCAGUGAAUCAUCGAAUCUUUGAACGCACAUUGCGCCCUCUGGUAUUCCGGAGGGCAUGCCUGUUCGAGCGUCAUUUCAACCCUCAAGCUCUGCUUGGUAUUGGGCAACGUCCGCUGCCGGACGUGCCUUGAAGACCUCGGCGACGGCGUCCUAGCCUCGAGCGUAGUANUAAAAUAUCUCGCUUUGGAGUGCUGGGCGACGGCCCGCGGACAAUCGACCUUCGGUCUAUUUUUCCAGGGUUGACCUCGGAUCAGGUAGGGAUACCGCUGAACUUAAGC
rnacentral:rRNA from 1 species